AAGAGGGCAGGUUUUGCAUGCCACAGUUAAUGAUGCAACUGUUGUGCCUUUUGUCAGCUGUCAAUUAAACAACCUUGAGCUCGCGGUAAAUCUUGCCAAGAGGGCUAAUCUUCCUGGUGCUGAGAAUUUGGUUGUCCAAAGAUUUCAGGAAUUGUUUGCACAGACAAAAUACAAGGAAGUAGCUGAGCUGGCUGCGGAAUCUCCCCAGGGCCUGCUGAGGACGCCUGAGACCGUAGCGAAAUUUCAGGUGAGUUUCUGGUUCUUUUGUGUACGAUGAAGCUAUUGAGGUUUGUGCACCUCCUUUCAACAGGUGUCACCUUUGGACAUUUUCAUAAGUCAUAGUUAAUUUGGUGAAAUAACUACUGUGCUAGGAUCUUGAUAAAUUCAUGGGAUUUUUUUGACUAAAGUUGUUAAGUUUUCUGUGUAUUGCGGAAGAGAAACCUUUAGUGCUUACUGGUCAUUCCUCAGACUUUUUAGACACUGUAGAAAAGUACUAUAGUUAAUUUCUCAUAUGCCUCCUGCUAUCAGGAUUAAUUUAAACGCAUAUA